rnacentral:rRNA from 1 species
GAUGAACGCUGGCGGCGUGCCUAAUACAUGCAAGUCGAGCGAACGGACGAGAAGCUUGCUUCUCUGAUGUUAUCGGCGGACGUGUGAGUAACACGUGUAUAACCUACCUAUAAGACUGGGAUAACUUCGGGAAACCGGAGCUAAUACCGGAUAAUAUUUUGAACCGCAUGGUUCAAAAGUGAAAGACGGUCUUGCUGUCACUUAUAGAUGGAUCCGCGCUGCAUUAGCUAGUUGGUAAGGUAACGGCUUACCAAGGCAACGAUGCAUAGCCGACCUGAGAGGGUGAUCGCCCACACUGGAACUGGGACACGGUCCAGCCUCCUAGGGGAGGCAGAAGAAGGGAAUCUUCCGCAAUGGGCGAAAGCCUGACGGAGCAACGCGGCGUGAGUAAUGAAGGUCUUCGGAUCGUAAAACUCUGUUAUUAGGGAAGACCAUAUGUGUAAGUAACUGUGCACAUCUUGACGGUACCUAAUCAGAAAGCCACGGCUAACUACGUG